AGCGUGAAGAUUUAAGAAAUUAACGAAUAUGUUACUUAUACUUUGUGUUCUACUAUGGAAUAUCAAUUUGGCAUGUACACAAUCAAAAUGCGAAAGCUACACAAAUCUUACAAACCCUACACUUCGUACAGACAAUAGCGAUCCAAAGCCCGUUCAAAUAACUUUAGGUUGGUACAGAUAUAUUGGCACUGAUACCGGUAUCAUGGCAACUAGCUGUCCGAAUGGUACCAACCAGUGCGGUGCAAAACAUCAAAUCUGGAUUAAAGGUUCGUUUCCUGCCGUUAAUAACGGACCUGCAUCUGUCAAUGCAUGUAUCAGGACUGUAAACCUUGAUGGGACGGCCAACUGUUGUGGACGAACAAGCCAGCUUCCAGUGGAAAACUGUGGAUUGUUCUACAUUUACUUCCUUUUCCCUCUACAACCUGAUACCCAUGUUUGUUUUAAUAAUACAGCCAUGAAACUGACAAGAGCAUCAACACCAACAACUGCGAUAACAACAUCAGCACCAAAUUAAACUUCAAGACUCCGUAACAUAGUCACUAGUCUCGAUGGGAAUACUCUUCAAUUAGAAAGCAAGGUCGAGUCAAACUCUCCGGAUGUUAGUGUUAUUUUUUAAUCCAGUUAUAGCACGAUACUAUUAAAUAUAUUUAAUCCUAGAGAACUUCAUGAAAGUUCAUCAUUCUUUAUUAGAUUAUUUACAAUUAACCAUCAAAGAGGAAACUGUUUGGCGUUGUAACGGAUACAAUACAAAGAAAAUCCCCAUGUCUCUCAGGAACAGCUAAUGCAGUCUAUUCACCACCCAAUAAACAAUAUGGUUUGUAUAUGUUACUGUCAUAUUGUUUGAGUUGAAAUUGAACGUAAAUAACAGAUGUGUACGACCAACACAUCAAUAAAUGAUGAUACAGUCUGAACAAAUUACAGGGACAAACAAAAGUAUAUGCCAAGUUUAACCAAGUACCCUUGUGAUUAAAAAAUAAAUAAAAAAAUCGCGUCAUUCUUGUAUAAUUUAAAUCCAAAUUUGCGCCUAUUACCGUUUAGUAAAUUGCUAUUUACAAUUGUCUUUGUAUAGUACACCAGUUUUUAAAUAUUUUUAUAUUAUUCCAGGCAGUACAUAUACAAACAAAGUGAUUGAUCGAAAAGUAACAUUUAAAACAUUUAAAUGGAUAAGUUGUAUUAGUGUUACAGUGUAAAGCAACAUGUGCCAAGUUCAAACAACUAAUCUCAAAUUCAGUCUAAUCGAAUACAAUGCCCGGACCAGGUGACUGCCUUUUUUGAUUCGAUUGAUCUUUAAUGAUCUCGUUCUGUAAUGAUUUACUUAACAAAGUUCUGCAUUAAAUAAGUAAGUAUAAAAAAGAAAUAACACUGAAAACCUCGUCAGGUGUUAUACAUUUAUUUAACAUCUAAUCAACAGGGACAUUGUUAACAUUUGAUUAGUAACACACAACAACAUCUAUCUCCCUGGGAGGCAUGCAUUGUGUAAAUAAUUUCUAUUUGUCCGAUGUGUGACAGCACUAUGUAGAUCAUCUAUUGGAUUUUAUAAUUGUUUUUAUUUUCAUAAAUGUUACAGUCAUUAUGAAAUGCUGAAAUACCUGGAAACCUUCUAAUCUGCAUUUCAGAUGCUUAUUAUCAAAUCUUCCUUGUCUUUAGUUAUCGUUAUGUUCUGGAUCAACAGCAGACCAGAUCUAAUUAAUCUAUGACAUGAAAAUAAACUGAAAAUGUCAAGGAAUCGCCAGUUCAGGUGGUUAAACAGUUCAGCGUUGAAUUUGAUCAUACUUUAGAGGACCUUUAGAGGAUACCUUUAGAAGAAUACUUUAUCAUACCUGAUAAUAAAUAGAGAAAAUUACAUUAAGAUUAUGGACAAUAGACUAGUUACAUUUCGCCUUUUAUUUUUGUUCGAUAUCUGAUCUAAACAUGGAAGUCUUGAACCAAAUAUCCUUAAUGAUUGAUUUUUAUUAUUGUAUAUAAAACAUUUGUUUGUUAAUCAUUCGAUGCAUCACAAACAAAAUAAACACCGAUACAUUGACAGUAUCAAUAAGAAUAUCCCCUUAUAUUCCAUUCAAAUAUUUACAAUUUACAUAGCAUUGUGCCUAUGCUUGUUUUAAGUGUUUCAGCAUAGUGUUGCAACGAGCCAAUAACGUUUAUAGUUGUUUCAUAAUGGUCUUAGGAAUUAGUUGCCCCAGCAACAAUUUUUCAUUGAUUAAUG